rnacentral:rRNA from 1 species
CGUAGUGACCUGCGGAGGAUAUUACCGAGUGAGGGCCCUCUGGGUCCAACCUCCCACCCGUGUCUAUCGUACCUUGUUGCUUCGGCGGGCCCGCCGUUUCGACGGCCGCCGGGGAGGCCUUGCGCCCCCGGGCCCGCGCCCGCCGAAGACCCCAACAUGAACGCUGUUCUGAAAGUAUGCAGUCUGAGUUGAUUAUCGUAAUCAGUUAAAACUUUCAACAACGGAUCUCUUGGUUCCGGCAUCGAUGAAGAACGCAGCGAAAUGCGAUAAGUAAUGUGAAUUGCAGAAUUCAGUGAAUCAUCGAGUCUUUGAACGCACAUUGCGCCCCCUGGUAUUCCGGGGGGCAUGCCUGUCCGAGCGUCAUUGCUGCCCUCAAGCACGGCUUGUGUGUUGGGCCCCCGUCCCCCUCUCCCGGGGGACGGGCCCGAAAGGCAGCGGCGGCACCGCGUCCGGUCCUCGAGCGUAUGGGGCUUUGUCACCUGCUCUGUAGGCCCGGCCGGCGCCAGCCGACACCCAACUUUAUUUUUCUAAGGUUGACCUCGGAUCAGGUAGGGAUACCCGCUGAACUUAAGCAUAUCAAUAAGCGGAGGAAAAGAAACCAACAGGGAUUGCCUCAGUAACGGCGAGUGAAGCGGCAAGAGCUCAAAUUUGAAAGCUGGCCCCUUCGGGGUCCGCGUUGUAAUUUGCAGAGGAUGCUUCGGGUGCAGCCCCCGUCUAAGUGCCCUGGAACGGGCCGUCAUAGAGGGUGAGAAUCCCGUCUGGGACGGGGUGUCUGCGUCCGUGUGAAGCUCCUUCGACGAGUCGAGUUGUUUGGGAAUGCAGCUCUAAAUGGGUGGUAAAUUUCAUCUAAAGCUAAAUACUGGCCGGAGACCGAUAGCGCACAAGUAGAGUGAUCGAAAGAUGAAAAGCACUUUGAAAAGAGAGUUAAACAGCACGUGAAAUUGUUGAAAGGGAAGCGUUUGCGACCAGACUCGCCCGCGGGGUUCAGCCGGCAUUCGUGCCGGUGUACUUCCCCGUGGGCGGGCCAGCGUCGGUUUGGGCGGCCGGUCAAAGGCCCUCGGAAUGUAUCACCUCUCGGGGUGUCUUAUAGCCGAGGGUGCAAUGCGGCCUGCCUGGACCGAGGAACGCGCU